rnacentral:tRNA from 1 species
CGCUGAGAAGCUAAACUGGGCCCAUAGCGUUAGCCUUUUAAGCUAAAGAUUGGUGACUCCCAACCACCCUCAACGA